rnacentral:rRNA from 1 species
AUAUGUGGCCAUGCCGGCUUGUUAAAGCCUGAUCUCAUCAAAUCUCAGAAAUUAAGCAGGACCGGGCCUUGUUAGUUCAUUGAUGUGAGACUGCUGGGAACACCAGGGGCCACAGUG